GAAUCUGCCUGGUAGUGGGGGAUAACGUCCGGAAACGGGCGCUAAUACCGCAUACGUCCUGAGGGAGAAAGUGGGGGAUCUUCGGACCUCACGCUAUCAGAUGAGCCUAGGUCGGAUUAGCUAGUUGGUGGGGUAAAGGCCUACCAAGGCGACGAUCCGUAACUGGUCUGAGAGGAUGAUCAGUCACACUGGAACUGAGACACGGUCCAGACUCCUACGGGAGGCAGCAGUGGGGAAUAUUGGACAAUGGGCGAAAGCCUGAUCCAGCCAUGCCGCGUGUGUGAAGAAGGUCUUCGGAUUGUAAAGCACUUUAAGUUGGGAGGAAGGGCAGUAAGUUAAUACCUUGCUGUUUUGACGUUACCAACAGAAUAAGCACCGGCUAACUUCGUGCCAGCAGCCGCGGUAAUACGAAGGGUGCAAGCGUUAAUCGGAAUUACUGGGCGUAAAGCGCGCGUAGGUGGUUCAGCAAGUUGGAUGUGAAAUCCCCGGGCUCAACCUGGGAACUGCAUCCAAAACUACUGAGCUAGAGUACGGUAGAGGGUGGUGGAAUUUCCUGUGUAGCGGUGAAAUGCGUAGAUAUAGGAAGGAACACCAGUGGCGAAGGCGACCACCUGGACUGAUACUGACACUGAGGUGCGAAAGCGUGGGGAGCAAACAGG
rnacentral:rRNA from 1 species